rnacentral:rRNA from 1 species
UCCGUUAAUUGAUUAUGACGUACUUGUACUGAUUGAGAUUUUAACACGAAGUGAGUGGCGAACGGGUGAGUAACACGUGGGUAACCUGCCCAGAAGUAGGGGAUAACACCUGGAAACAGAUGCUAAUACCGUAUAACAGAGAAAACCGCAUGGUUUUCUUUUAAAAGAUGGCUCUGCUAUCACUUCUGGAUGGACCCGCGGCGUAUUAGCUAGUUGGUGAGGUAAAGGCUCACCAAGGCAGUGAUACGUAGCCGACCUGAGAGGGUAAUCGGCCACAUUGGGACUGAGACACGGCCCAGACUCCUACGGGAGGCAGCAGUAGGGAAUCUUCCACAAUGGACGCAAGUCUGAU